CGCAGCUCAAGGGAGAAAAUUUAUGUUCACUUCUUUAUAAUUUCCUUGAAGUAAUAGUAAACAUAUUUUUCAUUUUGGACUGCAGACGUGGUAGUUCAUCUGCCUUAGCAUCUCAGUCUGAUUGCAUUUCCAUUAAAAAUAAUAAUCAUAAAUGUUUUUCCUUGAGCUGCGUCCCCCCGCUGCAGUCGAUAGACUCACCCGGAGGUCUCCGUACAAACAAGCGGCUGCUGGAAGAGAGUUGGUGAGUUGUGUUUAGUCUCUAUGUUAAAGAAAUGAGGCAAAGUUAAAAAGAUGUUUGGUGGCUAGUUCUGUGGCUGGGACCCUAUAUGUACUGUUGAUGAAGUUAGGUGCUGUUCUGACCAUUAUUUGUGGCUAUAGAGUUGCGUUUUGGUUGAGCGCGUGGCUCUCUGUAUUGCUAUCUGUGGUCGUUACUAAAGAUGGUAUAACUAGAGAAGCAAGCGGUCUGCAACAGUCAUCUCUCAACGGGGUGUCUAACUCUGUUGAGGUGUGUUUGACCCUAACUUAAUUUUACGUCGGAAUAUCCCUUUAACAACAACAAGACUUGGUGGUUUGGGCUCCUUUUCUGUAUAGUAAGUGAAGUGAAACCCUCUCCAGGUGUGACAUAAAAUCUUCACUUCGAACCAUAAUUCUGCUCACCCUUUCAGGAAUCCAAUCCACCAUAAGUGCCCAGCCACUAUACAUCACCCCUCAGUUCCUGACUAUCAACAUGACUAACAACAGAGGGGAACAUGACUAAACCUUUUCAUCAUCGUCAGAAUAAUAAACUCAUAGUUGACAUCCCAGAACUGCUUGGUUUGGUUUAGUGCAAAUAAACAAAUACAUGCCUAUUUUUGAGACAGAACUUAAGUCUAAGGUCUCUCUUGUCGUGUGUCGGUUGAAUCCUGUGACAUUCUUGGUCGUUAAACUUUACUCAAACUGGAAACGAAGCACGUCAUUGGUUGAUUGACAGUCCUCAUUUUUCUCGGUAAUUGUAUUUCAACCCUGCCAUUUAAAAAAAUUACAUUGCCUGUAAUGUGUUUGUGUGUGUUAUGGCAUCAAAAAGCAAACCUCGCCUUGAGGUAUUAACCAAGUCAGGCCUCAUUAAACACACACACACACACACACACACACACACACACACACACGCAGCCUCCCUCCAUUUCUCCAUUCUUUCACCUCUCAGUCAUCCCUUCUUUCAUUUCUUUUUCCUCUCAGCCGUAAAAAAUCUGUUCAGCCUUUCAGCUCUGAAGGUUUCAGACGGUACAGUUAUAGUGAACACAAACACUCAGAACAGGUCCUCUGAUUUUUAUUAAGUAAACAUUAACAUGUUUUCCUUGGAAUUAUUUUAACGAACAACCAAGUAAAUCUGUUAGAAACACGGGGGACAACUUUAAGACUGUGGAAGUCUAAAACAAGGGCUUCAGUUUCUCAAAUAGCCAAACCUGUAACCCAAGACUUGAAAACCUCGCUAUUGCAAACUAUUACUCUGGUUUUAUUGGAACAUUUGGACGUUAAAAGACAUUCAAAAGGCUCAAUCCUCAAAGAAAACACCCAUUAAACAUGGAGAAAAGUAUUUUCAACAUUUGGAUAAAUAUGUAAGACAUGCCAUAUUGCACAAUUCAAACCUUUGUCCACAUUCACCAUUCAGAGCAUGAAGGCUGUUUGAUUAAAAGAAAAUAUUCAAACCAUUUUUCUUCCUAUUCUGCUCACAAGGUCCUUGCAUUUAUAUGGGAACUGUUUAUCAAAGACACAGAAAAGCAUCAGGGCUGCAAAAACAUUAAAGCUUUUGUUAAAUGAGAACACUGUCCGCCGGCCAGUAUGAGUAUCUUACUCAGAUCUACAAUUGAUAUCAGGAUGAGGGACGGCAAUAGAUGAAAUUUUAUGUCUUUAUCUGUCCUGCUUAUCAGCUGUAUUCUUCAACAAAACCUAAUAAAUUCCUGUUAGGAAAAAAAUAUUAUUUUAUCGACUUAAUGAGUUGAGAUUUUAUCCCUGUUGCUGCUCUGCUGAGAAGGGGCAGUCUGGCUUCUGAUUGGGGCUUUGGAGUUCAACUGAUCAAAUUAAGAGCCUCUGAUUGGUUGAUGGACCUAACAAAGAAGGGGCCCUUCCAUUGGCAUAGUCAGCUAUCAACAUAAAUCAAACGUGGUCUCUUAAAUGGAUACAUAAAUCAACAUAGAUCGCCUUUGUUUUAGAUGGAUUGGAUCUGGACAGUCUGAAAAUAUUCUAAUCUCGUCUGGGGGAAAGAAGUGUCAUGAUGUGACUGUAUAUUCAACUUCCAUCAUAUCAUAUCAUAUUGUUAGCCCCUAAAUAUCACAGAAACACACACAUUUUAUCAUAUAAAAAGCUACUGGUAAUGAUUCACCGCUCAGAUUUUAGAGAAACCCAUUCUGAUCUGAAACCAUUUAUCGAUUUCUAGCCCUAGUCAGAAUAAAUAGUUCGAUAAACAAAUUCAGUGUAUUUAAUGUGAAAGAUCACUAUUGUUAUCUUUUUUGCUGAGGUUGUUCAAUGUCAAUUUCUUUCAAAUCUGAAUACAGUCAAUACCUUAAAUCAACUUAACACUCAUAUCAACCCAAACCAUGAUCUUUUCACCAACCAGUAUGCCAGUUUGGGACUGUACCUUACCAAACCCUGGUACAUUUUUGGAUACAGCAUAGGACCGCCAAAGCUUUUUGGAGAAUUUUUGGGCGAAAAUAGAAAAAAUAAAAUAAAAUUCAAGGGGCCAUCCUUAAUAAUCUUUAUCUUUCAAUAUGAGGGCUUAAUUUCUUAAAAAUAAUUCAGGUUGAGGUUAAAAGUGCUUUUGUAAACUGCAUCAGCCAGCAGCAGCUGUAACGCGACGUAAUCCCUGUUGUUAAAGAUUUCACAACAAAUGGAUUUUGAUUUUACACUGACAGGCUCAGAUUGUUAUUUUCAGUGUCUGACAGCUUUAAAAAUAUGAUCCUUAUAGUGAUGGACCUCUCCCUGAGGAGUAAGGCGCCUUUUUGAACAGUAACACAGUUUCUUCAUUCUGUUCAGGGCCACCACACUCACAUUCACAGAAAGAAGUCAUUGUACUCUGCAGAACAUUGGCAUCACUGUUGCCUUGGCCUCCGUUUGUCUGUAUUUGCCUGUUUAAAUGUCUCUUCUGCGGUCUUAAAGUGUCGUUUGGAUGUAUUUUGUGCCUAAACCUGACCACGAGUCAUAAGAUUUUGAAGCUGGUCUUUCUGCCUCCAUUUGCAUCUUCUUCUAAACGUCCUGCAAAAUAUCAACAAACUAUCCAUGUAAUAGUUUUUAUACAAGUCAGAUUCCUAGUAUAAGCAGGCUCAUCAAACAACUCUACACACUUGACUCUCUUGCGACCCCUUCAGGGCUCCUCCUAGGGGAUCUCAUGGUGGUCCCAGGCCAGAUGGAAUAUGCAACUCCCCCAGUGAGUUCUGGGUCUGCCCCGGGGUCUCCCUCAAGUUAUACAGGCCUUAAGUACUUCCACUGGGACACAUGCAGAGAUACUGUAACCAUACCAUUUCCAAUGGCUUCUCCCCGUUCUACAGGAUGGCUUUGAAUCGUUAUAUUUCAUGUCUUUACAUUUUCUUUCAUCCCAUCGAUUUGCUAAUUAUGAGUUGUACCUGGCUCCAUCAAGUGAAAUAUAGAGACCCAGCACUUUUCAGGAGUUCUAUUUUUUCUCUGAUUUAUAUCAGACUUACCGAGCCUUUGCCUAACAUGCCAACCUGAGGACAUCUCUUGAUUGACUUUUAGAAAGUCUUCAUAACCUUUGACACAUCUGUUUUUAUGACAGUAAAGUGAGGCAUUCAGAGGUCAAGUGGGAUUGUGGUUUUUAAGGAAAGGGAGGCUGAAGCCACCGAAUUGUCAUGUGUCAAAAGUAAUUUUUAGAUUUCUCUCGAAUCUGGAUUAACAUGUUUACACUCACAGCUAUGAAAUCUGGAUAAAUAAGCUACAAGGAGGAAAUGUGGACUAUUAAAUAAUGGAGGACCUUUGAUACCAACACAUUUGUAAGUCAUUAAGUUGUCUCUUUCAUGUAAACCAAUGGGACUUGAAACUUUAAAAUCAAAACAUAGGCCAUUAAAUUUUUUUUUCCAACACACAGCUCUUGUCAUUAAAGUUUGUUCUUAUUAUGCUGAUUUAUGUUGUAGUAUUUACUUUUCUGAGGAGUUUAGUUGUACUUGUUUUUUGAUGGAAAAAAUUUGUACAAUUCUACAUGCCCCUGACACUGCAAGGAGAAGGUGGAAGGCUUAGCUUAGCACAGUGGUUCUCAAUCCAGUCACACACACCUGAUUCAAAUGAUGAGCUCGUUAUCAAGCUCUGUAAUGGCUUAAUAACGAGCUGAUCAUUUGAAUCAGGUGUGUUGGAGCAGGGAAACAUCCAAAACAUGCAGGACAGGGGGGGCUUGAGGACUGGAUUGAGAACCACUGGCACAAGUGGUCCAAAUGCCAAUAUUGGAAUAAUACCCACCCAAAUUUACCUAUGAAGCCCACCCAAUCACAUCAUAUCUCAUUCAUUUGAUGCAAAAACCAAAGUGCUGCAAAAAUUAAAAAAAACAACAGUAACUCUUAUUUUAACUCUGUAAAGUUGCUCAUAGUCCAACAACUCCAAAAAGUUACAAGCAGGAAGCAGUCCAGCACAUACAAGCAUGACUAAAACCCCAACAAUGACAGAUAUUUGCGUUCCCAGUCUCUGUCUCUACCCUCCCCUCUCCCAUUAGAACUGAUGCUGUGUGUCAGCUCGUUCAAUAGCCUGUAGCCUGUGGUACAAGUUCAGUCUGAUGGAGCUCAUCCAUUUAAAACCUAUUACACACACUCACACAAAAUACAUUACAGAGGUCAUUAAGAAUAUAUUAGAGGUGUCGAUGUUGUUAUAAAUUCACAACAUAUUAGAGAAGUCAUUAAGAAAUGUAGGUCAGCACACACGCACAUGGGCAGGUUAUUAAUGUCAUUCAUGAAUGAGACCGACAAUCCAAUCUGAGUAAACUGAGAUUACUGUGUGUGUGAUGGAUGGACUCAGGUGUGUGUGACGCCCUGCCCGCUUCCUCUGUAAUGCUUAUAUGUUUUUUAUUCUUUUUUUAAAAUCAAACAUCAGUCCAGUGCUUGGUGGUUUUUUGUUGCCUUUUCAUUAUUGUGCUGUUAUCCCGUUUUACAUUGGUGUACGUCAAAAUGUGUUUCCUUCUGGAAAGCUGUUUUUAUCCAAAUCAAAUUUGCACCCAAACUCAGCUAAUUUGAACUAGCUGAUCCUGAUAGGGUUUGAACGUUGGAGGUCUGUGUGGAUUAAACCCAAGGACUUAAUGGGAUAUUCCGGCGUAAAAUUAAUUUAGGGUCAAACACACCAUAACACCGAGUUAGACACCCCGUUGAAAUAUAAAUGUUGCCGACCACUUGCGUCUCUAGUUAUACAAACUUGAGUAACAACCGCAGGAUAGCAAUACACAGCGGUCUGAGGAGCCAUAAACAAACCUCAAUCAAAAUGCCACUCUAUAGGCACAAAUAAUGGUCAGAACAGCACCUAACUUCAUCAACAGUACAUAUAGGGUCCCAGCCACAGCACUAGCCACCAAACAUCUUUUUAACUUUGCCUGAUUUCUUUAGCAAAAAGACUAAACACAACCCACCUACUCUCUUCCAGCAGCCGCUUGUUCGUAGCGAGACCUCAGGCCAGUCUAUUACGGACUACAGCGGGGUGACGCAGCUCAAGGAAGAACAUUUUGCACUGUAGAUGCGGUAGUUCUUCUGCCUUAGUGUCUCAGUCUGAUUGCCUUUCCAUGAAGAAAUGAUCAUAAAUGUUAUUCCUUGAGCUGCGUCACCCCAACAUCUCUCUUGAAGGGUGUUACGGUGUGUUUGACCUUAAAUUAAUUUUAUGCCGGAAUAUCCCUUUAAGUGGAUGUAACUGAUGUUAUGUAAACCAUGCUUCGGGAAUACGUUAAACCGUUAAGUUUGUCAUUUUGACUCUUUGAAUCAUGCCUUUUAGAGCCAGAAAAUAUUUCUUUUUGUAUCGAGUUUGGCGCCCCCUGUGGACAAAAUUUGUAUCACAAUGUUGAUUUUACUCUGUACAUAUGCUAGCAGUAUACAACAAAAACAAAAAAAAAUUCCAAGUAAACAAAAAACACACUGUACAAAAAGGUUAAAUCACUCAAAAGACAAGUAAUCCCAGCAAACCCAUUUUCUAAUAUAAACACCUAGCAGGCAUCUCAGAAGGUGAAAUCCCUCACAGGAUCUUAUCCCAAACCCACAACCUGUAACUGACCCAGAAUCCUUUGCAUUCGUACUGAAUACAUCUUUUGCCCAUUUUGAAUCC
rnacentral:lncRNA from 1 species